UACGUAGGGGGCAAGCGUUGUUCGGAAUUACUGGGCGUAAAGGGCGCGUAGGCGGCACAGCAAGUCGGGAGUGAAAGCCCGGGGCUCAACCCCGGAAUGGCUUUCGAAACUGCUGAGCUAGAGUACAGAAGGGGCAACCGGAAUUCCCAGUGUAGCGGGUGAAAUGCGUAGAUAUUGGGAAGAACACCUGAGGCGAAGGCGGGUUGCUGGGCUGAUACUGACGCUGAGGCGCGAAAGCCAGGG
rnacentral:rRNA from 1 species